CAUUAUGAUUUCGAGAGUCCAACUGCAACGUGCUCGUUUAUUUAUUUCUGUUCUCUAUGUUCUUCUUUUAGAUUCUAUAUAACAUUGCUCAGCCAUCUCCGUGUGGAAUAAAACAAUGAUCAAGGAUUACGUCGUGAAGCUUAAACAAAUGAGUGUCGAUUGAUUACUUGAUUAAAAUAGUUUUUGACAGGUUUACGUGAAUCACGAUCUUUGUUGUUAAUACGUGCUGCAAAAUUUGUUUUCAGGAACAUAUUAUUCAAACCGGCGGUGGGUCCGUCCGUGUCUGUAAUCGUGUAUGGAGACCAAGAAAAGCCACCCUUGAUUACAUAUCCAGAUUUAGCUCUAAAUUAUAUGUUGUGUUUUCAAGGACUAUUCUUCUGUCCCGAAGCCGCUUCAUUGCUUCUUCAUAAUUUCUGCAUUUAUCACGUCAGUCCACCUGGACACGAGGUCUGUGAACGGGCUUAUAUUAAUAUAGGGUUGUUUGGAUGUUCAUUUUGAACUUGAUAUUAAAUAAUCAGAAUUAGAUGAUAAAAGUUGGCAAGACGUUAGGGGUUACCUGUAAUUUCAGAAAGUAAAUUAAAAACCCAUACCGAAACAGAGUAGGAAAACAAACCCGUAUUCAAUUGUAUUAGGAGUGUGAAUAUUGAUAGUUUUAUAUGAUUUUUUUCUUGUUUUACACUCGCAAGUUUGGAGAGAAAUUUCCAGACCACCUUUGCUCCAGGUAACUUGGUACAAAUAGAUUUUUUCAAAAUAUUUUAGAAAUUCAUGGAACUACACUGAUAUGUUAUAUGUACAAAGCUCAUGAUGGUAAUUGUGGUAUCUCUUGAUUCUCAAGUCUUUUACAAUGAAGAAUGAGUGUUUUUUGGGCCAUCAUAGAGACAGACAUAUGCAGAAUCAACAACUAAUAUAAUACCUUAAUGUUUCAUCAUUCAUGAAGGAUGCUGUCCUUUUCACUCAUUAAAGCAGGUUGCCCGUUGAAUAUCAGUGGCUCUAAUUUUACUCAUGCUGCCACCAUUUGUUCCGACACGGAAUCAAGAGCAAGUUGUUGUCGUUACAUCAACGCUCUUAUCGCAGUUUCAAUUGCUCGUUAUGCAAACACAGGUAACAACCUAGGAGUUUCUCCAGAACUAUCCGAUAUCUGUCUCCAAGCCAUAUCCCAAACGUUGGAAACACAUGGAAUGACAAAAAAUGCUACGGCUUUUUGUGGAUUCGGGACGAGAAUUCCUGUCAAUUACGAGUGCCUCGGAAUAAAAACAGUCGAUAAGGUGAGGGACGUUGUAAAAAGUGUUUAAACGCUGGAAUUUUGUUUUUGAGGAAUUUAGUCGGAGCUGCGGAUAAUAUCACAUUAAGUACUUGUAGAGAUGCAAUGUUUGUUGCUAUUGCUAGCCAAGUUGACGAUGUAGCGGCCGUUGAGACCGCUGACUGUUUUUUCGGAGUUCAAGGACUCGGUAGCACUUCAGGAUCCUCCACACCUAUAUCUUCUUCACCUGAGUUAUCUCCAAGCUCGUUUGGUGCCGUGGGCCCAAGUCAACUCUCAUUGACCGCACCGGAAAUUAGACACCGUUCCUGCUGUUGGCAUUGCAGUUACAGCGCUAGCCGCUAUCAUGCUGGUAUUAAUGGUUUUCCUUAUUCGCAGAAAAAGUAAAGAACUUGAAGGACAUGACACGACGAUUGAUAAAACCUCAACAGAAACAAAAUCGCAGACAACAAAAAGGUUCCAAGACGAUAUUUUGUGCAACUCCUCCUAUUUAUGACAAAUCAAUUCGACAACUGCAAAGCUUCUUGUCAGGUCUGGUUGCAGAAGAGAAGUUAGAACUUAGAGACGUCAGUUUGAAGAGAAGAUUAAGGAGAUACCCGUGUUGAGGCGAACUCAAGCGUUCUUUUAACAUCAAUGAUGAUGGAGAACCUGACACAUCGCGUGGGGAAUUUGAAUAAUAAACAAGUCGAGCAUGAGGCGAUCUCAAACUAGAAAAGCUACUAUGAGCUAAGUUCGAGCUCCGGAAAUAGAACUCAGAACAAGAUGGGCUCGAGCUCCGGAAAUGGAAUUAGGAACGACCUGAUCUUAAGCCACAACUCCUAUACGUUAAACAAGUCGAGCUUGGGCUCGGCUGUUCUUAUAAGUAUAUCGAUGCUUUGUAAAGAUGGAAUGAGAGAGUGCGAAGAAGACAGAGAGACAACCGAACGGUGAAUGAAGAUUAUCAGGGCGUCGACGAAGAACAAUCGAACCAAGGUACACCGAUGUAACCUUCAUUGGCGACGGCAAAAUAAACGACGAAGAACAGCGUCGGACCGUUCAAAUCGCCGGAAAAAUCAUCUUUUCUUCAACCAAUAAAGGCCGAGUACAGAAAUUGAGAAUGCUUUGCCACACAGGUUGGAUUUUGAAUGGAAGACAGACAACAACACUAUGGAUUGCGGGGUCGUUGUCAUGAGGCAUAUGGAAACGUGGUUCGGGAUAACAGUCGAGAAGUGGAAUAAUGGCUUCCUACUUGAUCAUACCACCAAGAAGGCGUUCUUGACACAUUUGAGGAAGAAGUACGUAGUACAGCUAAUAACUUCAAAGGUUAACAAGCACCGUAAGCGCAUAAUGGCUGAAGAAGUCCAACAUGGGAAGGCGAGCGGAAUAGGUUGUAAUUAGUACGUCUAUGUUGGUUGACAAUAUUAAACGUGUGGUGGUAUGAUGUUUCCGUUUGUUGACAACAUUAAAAAUGUGGUGUUUUGGUGUUUUGUUUUGUUUUGAAAUAGUCGAACACAAAUUUAGUUUUUAUUCGUAUGGUAUUUUUGGUUUUU